ACGCACGCUGGCGGCGUGCUUCACCCCUGCCAGUCGCACGGAAAGGCCCUGCUUUUGUGGGGUGCUCGAGUGACGAACGGGUGAGUAACACGUGAGUAACCUGCCCUUGACUUUGGGAUAACUUCAGGAAACUGGGGCUAAUACCGGAUAGGAGCUCCUGCUGCAUGGUGGGGGUUGGAAAGUUUCGGCGGUUGGGGAUGGACUCGCGGCUUAUCAGCUUGUUGGUGGGGUAGUGGCUUACCAAGGCUUUGACGGGUAGCCGGCCUGAGAGGGUGACCGGCCACAUUGGGACUGAGAUACGGCCCAGACUCCUACGGGAGGCAGCAGUGGGGAAUAUUGCACAAUGGGCGGAAGCCUGAUGCAGCAACGCCGCGUGCGGGAUGACGGCCUUCGGGUUGUAAACCGCUUUCGCCUGUGACGAAGCGUGAGUGACGGUAAUGGGUAAAGAAGCACCGGCUAACUACGUG
rnacentral:rRNA from 1 species